rnacentral:rRNA from 1 species
GAUGAACGCUGGCGGCGUGCUUAACACAUGCAAGUCGAACGGAAAGGCCAGUGCUUGCACUGGUGCUCGAGUGGCGAACGGGUGAGUAACACGUGGGUGAUCUGCCCUGCACUUUGGGAUAAGCCUGGGAAACUGGGUCUAAUACCAGAUGGGACCAUGCUUUGGAUGGUGUGGUGGAAAGUUUUUUCGGUGUGGGAUGAGCUUGCGGCCUAUCAGCUUGUUGGUGGGGUAAUGGCCUACCAAGGCGUCGACGGGUAGCCGGCCUGAGAGGGUGUACGGCCACAUUGAGACUGAGGUGCGGCCCAGACUCCGACGGGAGGCAGAAGGGGGGAAUAUUGCACGAGGGGCGCAAGCCUGAUGCAGCGACGCCGCGGGGGGGAGAACGGCCUUCGGGUUGUAAACUCCAUUCGCAACUGACGAAGCUUUUUGUGACGGUAGGUUGAGAAGAAGCACCGGCUAACUACGUG